UAAAAAGUAAUAAAGGGUGUUUAGUGGAUGCCUUGGCAAUCAGAGGCGAUGAAAGACGUGAAAGACUGCGAUAAGCCUGGGGGAGCCGUCAAUAUGCAUUGAUCCCAGGAUUUCUGAAUGGGGAAACCCGAUACAUAUGUAUCGCUUGCAACUGAAUAAAUAGGUUGCAAGAGCAAACGUGGUGAAGUGAAACAUCUCAGUAGCCACAGGAAAAGAAAUCAAAUAUGAGACUCCGCGAGUAGUGGUGAGCGAAAGCGGACCAGCCCAAUGACUGAAACAUUUCUCAGCAAAACGCGAUGGAAAGCGCGGCAAUAAUAGGUGAUAGCCCUGUAUGCGAAAAGAAGUGAGAAGUAUACGAGUAGAGCGGGACCCGUGAAAUCCCGUUUGAAUAUGGGGGGACCAUCCUCCAAGGCUAAGUACUCCUGAUUGACCGAUAGUGCACAAGUACCGUGAGGGAAAGGUGAAAAGAACCCCGAGAGGGGAGUGAAAUAGAAACUGAAACUGAACACUUACAAGCUGUCGGAGCGGGUUUUCCCGUGACGGCGUACCUUUUGUAUAAUGAGCCAACGAGUUAUUUUCACAUGCAAGCCUAAGCCGUUAGGUGUAAGCGCAGGGAAACCGAGUCUGAAUAGGGCGAUUUAGUAUGUGGAAAUAGACCCGAAGCGGGGUGAUCUAGGUAUGGGCAGGUUGAAGUCUGUGUAACAGCAGAUGGAGGACCGAACGCACCAAUAUGGCAAAAUUGGGCGAUGACCUGUGUCUAGGGGUGAAAAGCCAAUCGAACCCUGUUAUAGCUGGUUCUCCGCGAAAACUAUUGAGGUAGUGUCUUAGGUGUUUGUUGCUGGGGGUAAAGCACUGAAAUGGCUAGGGGGGAGAAAUCCUUACCAAACCAUAUCAAACUCUGAAUACCAGCAAAAUAUAGCCUAGGAAACAGUCCAUGGGUGCUAAGGUCCGUGGACGAGAGGGUAAGAGCCCAGACCGCCAGUUAAGGUCCCUAAAUCACAAUUAAGUGGGAAAGUGAGUUGAGAUUCCAAAACAACCAGGAUGUUGGCUUAGAAGCAGCCAUCAUUCAAAGAAAGCGUAAUAGCUCACUGGUCUAUUUAGAGUUUCAGCAACCAAAAUGUAACGGGGCUAAAAUUGUGUACCGAAACUGCGGGCGUGUCGUAAGAUGCGCGGUAGCGGAGCAUUCUGUAAGUCUGUGAAGCCGAAGGCGCGAGCCGCGGUGGAGAUAUCGGAAGAGCGAAUGUUGGCAUGAGUAGCAGCUAAUCAGUGUGAGAAACACUGACGUCGUAAGAGCAAGGGUUCCUAUCCAAUGACAAUCAGGGUAGGGUGAGCCGACCCCUAAGGCGAGGCCGAAAGGCGUAGUCGAUGGGAACACGGUUAAUAUUCCGUGGCUUGCUGGUGGUGACAAAUCUGGUAGAUUGUGAGUCCUUAUUGGAUUGGGCUUGCAGUGAACAGGUUUCGGGAAAUAGCCCCAGCGUAUAAAUCGUACCCAGAACCAACACAGGUGCUCGAGUCGAGUAGACUAAGACGGUUGAGAGAACUAUCUUGAAGGAACUAGGCAAAAUACAUCCGUAACUUCGGAAUAAGGAUGACCUCGUUCAAGGCAACUUUAAUGAGGUGGCACAUACUAGGGGGUGGCGACUGUUUACUUAAAACACAGGUCUCUGCUAAAUCGUAUAAGAUGAAGUAUAGGGACUGACGCCUGCCCAGUGCCGGAAGAUUAAGCUGAUGUGUGCAAGCACUGAUGUGAAGUCCCGGUAAACGGCGGCCGUAACUCUAACGGUCCUAAGGUAGCGAAAUUCCUUGUCGGGUAAGUUCCGACCCGCAUGAAUGGCGUAACGAUCUCCCCACUGUCUCCAAGAUAGACUCAGCGAAAUUGAAUUCUCGGUGAAAAUGCCGGGUACCCGCAGCUAGACGGAAAGACCCUAUGAAGCUUUACUGCAACUUUGUACUGGCCUAAGGAUUUGUUUGUGUAGGAUAGGUGGGACGCUUUGAAGUAGCCGCGCUAGCGGUUAUGGAGCGGUCGUUGAAAUACCACCCUGGCAAAUUUUUAGGUCUAACCAUAUCCCGUUAUCCGGGAUGGGGACAGUGCAUGGCGGGCAGUUUGACUGGGGCGGUCGCCUCCCAAAUAGUACCGGAGGCGUGCGAAGGUUUGCUCAGAUUGGUCGGAAAUCAAUCGGUGAGUGCAAUGGCAAAAGCAAGCCUGACUGAAAGAGGGACACCUCGAUCAGAGACGAAAGUCGGUCAUAGUGACCCGGUGGCUCCGAAUGGAAGGGCCAUCGCACACGGAUAAAAGCUACUCUAGGGAUAACAGGCUGAUGCUACCCAAGCGUCCAUAGCGACGGUAGUGUUUGGCACCUCGAUGUCGACUCAUCGCAUCCUGGGGCUGGAGCAGGUCCCAAGGGUAUGGCUGUUCGCCAUUUAAAGCGGUACGUGAGUUGGGUUAAUAACGUUGUGAGACAGUUAGGUCCCUAUCUACUGUGGGCGUUGGAUAUUUGAGAAGAGUUGACCUUAGUACGAGAGGACCGGGUCGAACGAAUCCCUGGUGUACCUGUUGUCGCGCCAGCGGCAGUGCAGGGUAGCUAAAUUCGGACAGGAUAAACGCUGAAUGCAUCUAAGCGUGAAGCCCCCUUCAAGAUAAGAUAUCCCAAUUAGUUCUGUAAUAGACGAUUACUUUGAUAGGUCAGAGGUGGAAGUGCCGUAAGGUAUGUAGCUUACUGAUACUAAUAGAACGAAUGACUUUUUAUC
rnacentral:rRNA from 1 species